CUUUCAUUCUCUUUCAUAUUAAAUGUAGCUAUCUCACUCAUUUGCGAUCUCGCGGCCGAUGCAGUAUCUAAAUUUUAAUAAAACCUUAAUCCAUGUUGCUAUCAUUCUCUUUCUAUCUAUCUCACUCGUUUGCGAUCUCGCGGCCGAUGCAGUAUCAAAAUUUUAAUAAAACCUAAAUCCAUGUUGCUAUCAUUCUUUUUCUCUCUA